GGCCGACUAGCUCAGUUGGUUAGAGCGUCGUGCUAAUACAGGAGUUAAUCCCUGGUGACGCGAAGGUCUUGGGUUCGACCCCCACGUUGGCCA
rnacentral:tRNA from 1 species